rnacentral:rRNA from 1 species
CUGGUAUCAGGCUCGACACCUUCAGCCCACAACACCUUGCUCAGCCACACCCCCAAGGGAUUGCAGCAGUGAUAAACAUUAAGCUAUGAGUGAAAACUUGACUUAGUUAAAGAUAAUCCUGGGCCGGUCAAAACUCGUGCCAGCCACCGCGGUUAAACGUGAUUAUGGCCCAAGUUGACAGCCUACGGCGUAAAGGGUGGUUAAGGAAAAAAACAAAACUAAAGCUAAAUGCCCCCCCGGCUGUUAUACGCUCUCGGGGGUAAGAAAAUCAACAACGAAAGUGGCUUUACCCCCCCCCCGAUUCCACGAAAGUUAUGGUACAAACUGGGAUUAGAUACCCCAUUAUGCCUAACCCUAAACAUUGAUAGUAAGUCACACCCACUAUCCGCCUGGGUACUACAAGCACCAGCUUCAAACCCAAAGGACUUGGCGGUGCUUCAGAUCCCCCUAGAGGAGCC